rnacentral:tRNA from 1 species
GACUACAGUGGUCCAGCGGUAAAACGUUUGCCGCAGAGCCAGAGGGUCCUGGGUUCGACCCCCGAUGGGGUCG